UCCCUGGUGGUCCAGUGGUUAGGACAUUGCGCUUCCAACGCAGGGGUCUUGGAUUCGAUCCCCGGUUGGGGAA